CGUGUAGGCGGCCUCUUAAGUCUGAUGUGAAAGCCCGGGGCUUACCCCCGGAAGUGCAUUGGAAACUGGGCGGCUAGAGUACCGGAGAGGAAGGUGGAAUUCCUGGUGUAGCGGUGAAAUGCGUAGAUAUCAGGAGGAACACCGGUGGCGAAGGCGGCCUUCUGGACGGAUACUGACGCUGAGACGCGAAAGCGUGGGGAGCAAACAGGAUUAGAUACCCUGGUAGUCCACGCGGUAAACGAUGGGCACUAGGUGUUCGGGGUAUUGACCCCCUGAGUGCCGCAGCUAACGCAUUAAGUGCCCCGCCUGGGGACUACGGCCGCAAGGUUAAA
rnacentral:rRNA from 1 species